rnacentral:rRNA from 1 species
UACGGGGGGUGCAAGCGUUAAUCGGAAUUACUGGGCGUAAAGCGCGCGUAGGCGGCUUUGUAAGUCGGAUGUGAAAGCCCCGGGCUUAACCUGGGAAUUGCAUUCGAUACUGCAUAGCUAGAGUAUGGUAGAGGGUAGCGGAAUUCCGGGUGUAGCGGUGAAAUGCGUAGAUAUCCGGAGGAACACCAGUGGCGAAGGCGGCUACCUGGACCAAUACUGACGCUGAGGUGCGAAAGCGUGGGGAGCAAACAGG